rnacentral:rRNA from 1 species
GAUGAACGCUGGCGGCGUGCCUAAUACAUGCAAGUCGAGCGAACGGACGAGAAGCUUGCUUCUCUGAUGUUAGCGGCGGACGGGUGAGUAACACGUGGAUAACCUACUUAUAAGACUGGGAUAACUUCGGGAAACCGGAGCUAAUACCGGAUAAUAUUUUGAACCGCAUGGUUCAAAAGUGAAAGACGGUCUUGCUGUCACUUAUAGAUGGAUCCGCGCUGCAUUAGCUAGUUGGUAAGGUAACGGCUUACCAAGGCAACGAUGCAUAGCCGACCUGAGAGGGUGAUCGGCCACACUGGAACUGAGACACGGUCCAGACUCCUACGGGAGGCAGCAGUAGGGAAUCUUCCGCAAUGGGCGAAAGCCUGACGGAGCAACGCCGCGUGAGUGAUGAAGGUCUUCGGAUCGUAAAACUCUGGUAUUAGGGAAGAACAUAUGUGUAAGUAACUGUGCACAUCUUGACGGUACCUAAUCAGAAAGCCACGGCUAACUACGUG